rnacentral:misc_RNA from 1 species
GAGUCGGAGUUCAGUCUUCCCAGGCCCACCACUUUCAUGGAGUGAGCAUUCGUCUUCUGGUUACGGGGCCAUAGCUCAGCUGGGAGAGCGCGUGCUUUGCAAGCAUGAGGUCGUCGGUUCGAUCCCGUCUGGCUCCACCAGAUGGUUUGAUCACCGAGAUCUUGACCGUCGUCCGCGAAACAUCACUUCGCAUCCUGCUAGUCUGGAUAGACAGCAGUUUGCGUGUUUUCUGACAUCGUAAAGAGGAGAUCGAUCCGAGUUGGGUCGUGCAGCAUAUCGUUGCGCGAGCCUUCAUUAUCUCCGGAUCAUUUCGGCGCUCGCUUCCAGCCGUGAGGUUGGAUGCGGGUUGUAAAUGAUCCUUUUAGCGAAGCUUGACCGCCUCGCUAUCGGAACGAUCUUACGAAGCAAGCUGGUCUUUCUAGUCAAUGUCCGGCUGCGGAUAGCGUUCAUCGAGGGCGCGUGCCGCAAGGCAAUUCUGCAGACAACAUUCUGCCGAGUGUGUGGACAUUGAUAAUGAGAGCAAUCAAGUGCCUUAAGGGUGUUCGGUGGAUGCCUUGGCGCUGAGAGGCGAUGAAGGACGUGCUACGCUGCGAUAAGCCGUGGGGAGCUGCGAAGAAGCUUUGAUCCGCGGAUUUCCGAAG